rnacentral:lncRNA from 10 species
CAGCUGCGAUCUGUGGCAUUCACAGAGAGGAACGAAAGAGGUGCGUGAAUACAGCACCUUUAACUGAAAUAUCCAGAUACUCGCAUUGGGACUGAUCAGGGAAACAACUCAAAGCACGGAGAAUAAAGAAAACUAGGGUGGGGUGACAGCCCACCUAGGAGUGACACAGAGUCGAGGGAACCCCCACCCCCAGCCAAGGGAAGUGGUGAGUGAGUGUGCAACCCUGGGAAACCAUGCUUUUCCCACAGAUCUUUGCAACCCGCAGAUCAGGGAAUCCCUUUGUGAGCCCACACCAUCAGGGCCUUAGGUUCAACACACGGAGCUGUAUGGAGUCUUGGCAGAGUGCCUGCUCAGGCACACACAGAGACCCAGGAGCUUUACAUACUCUGGCCUCAGGAUCUCUAAUAAAGGUGUAUGCAACGAGGCAAAUCAGGAGGUCCGUGCAUACCCCAAAGAAGUGGGCUGAAUCCAGGAGGCUGAGCAGCAUCAGUCUGUGGGCCCCACUUUCACGGCACCUCACAAGAUAAAACCCACUGGCUUGGAAUUCCAGCAAGCCACCAGCAACAGGGUGGAGCCUGCCUGAUACAAGACUGAACCCCUAGGGGGAGGGGCGGGUGCCAUCUCUGCUGUUUGAUCUACUUGGCCAUUCCAGACUGUGGGCUUUGGAGAGUCAGACAGUCCAGAUGAGGAGGUGUCUCCCUAGCACAGCACAGCUGCUUUGCCAGAGCCUGGCCAGAAUGCUUCUUUAAGCAGGAAUCUGAUCUCUCCCGGGAUGGAAUGCCUGAGGAGGAAGGGUGGGCCACUACCUUGGUUGUUUGGAUGACUCAGCCAUUCUAGCCUGCAGGCUUUGGAGAGUCCAAGUCUACAGAAGCAGAGGCAGCUUCCCAGCACAACAUGGCUGUUUUGUUGAGGCAUGGUCAGACUGCUUCUUCAAGCAGAACCCUGAUCCACUUCUCCUAAGGUGUUGGUCCCCCCAGCAGAGGACUUGGCCUUCCCUGCCCAUGUUCUAUGGCCGACAGAGUUCUAAUUUCUCCCUGGGAUGGGGAGCCUGGGGUGGUGGGGCAGGCCAACACCUUGGCUGUUUGGGCAUCUCAGCUGGUCCAGCCUGAGGAUAUUGCAGAACCUAAACCAACUGGGGGCUGAAGGGAUCCCCAACACAGCACAGCUGCUCUACAAAAAAGCAGCCAAACUGCUUCUUUAAGCAGAUCUCUGAUCCCAUUCCUCCUGACUGAAAGACCGGGAUCUCUAGCCACUUCCUACAGCCUGAAUGUGUCUGUAGGAAGCAGCAGGAGCCAUAAUAUCCAGUAUAGAUAGAAACAUAACUGACCUGAUGGAGUUGAAAAACACACUAUAAAAACUUAACAAUGCAGUCACAAGUAUUAAUAGCAGAACAGACCAAGUGGAGGAAAGAAUCUCAGAGCUUAAAGACUAUCUUUCUGAAAUAAGACAAGCAGACAAGAAUAGAUAAAAAAGAAAAAUGAAAGGAAUGAAGAAAACCUCCGAGAAGUAUGGGAUUAUGUAAAGAGACCUAAUCUACGACUGACUAGGGUAUCUGAAAGAGAUGGGGAGAAUGGAAUCAAUUUGAAAAGCAUACUUCAGGAUAUCAUCCAGGAGACCUUUCCCAACCUAGCAAGACAGGCCAACAUUCACAUUCAGGAAAUGCAGAGAACCCCAGUAAAAUUCUCCACAAGAAGAUCAUCCCCAAGACUCAUAACCAUCAAAUUCUCCAAGGUUGAAAUGAAAUAAAAAAUGUUAAGGGCAGCCAGAGAGAAGGGCCAGGUCACCUACAAAGGGAAGACCAUCAGACUAACAGUGGACCUCUCAGCAGAAACCCUCCAAGCCAGAAGAGAUUAGGGGGCAAUAUUCAACACUCUUAAAGAAAAUAAUUUCCAACACAGAAUUUCGUAUCCAGCCAAAUGAAGCUUCAUAAGUGAAGGAGAAAUAAGAUAUUUUUCAGACAUGCAAAUGCUGCAGGAAUUUGUUACCAUCAGACCUGCCUUACAAGAGCUCCCGAAGAAAGCACUGAAUAUGAAAAGGAAAAACUGUUAUCAUCCCCUACAAAACCACACUGAAGUAUACAGACCAGUGACACUCUGAAGCAAUCACAUAAACAAGUCUGCAAAGCAUUAUGAUGGCAGGAUUAAAGCCACACAUAACAAUACUAAGCUUAAAUGUAAAUGGACUAAAUAUCCUAAUUAAAAGACACAGAUAAAGAACCAAGAUUCAUUGGUAUGUUGUUUUCAAGAGACCCAUCUCACAUGCAAAGACACAUACAGGCUCAAAAUAAAGGAGUGGAGGAAAAUUUACUAAGCAAAUGGAAAACAGAAAAAAGUAGGGAUUGCAAUUCUGAUUUCUGACAAAACAGACUUGAAAACAACAAAGAUAAAAAAAGACAAAGAAGGGCAUUACAUACGGUAAAGGGUUCAAUUCAACAAGAAGGGCUAAUAUAUAUACAUAUAUGUGUGUGUAUACAUAUAUCUCCAAUAGGUGCACCCAGAUUCAUAAAGCAAGUUCUUAGAGAUCUUCAAAGAGACUUAGACUCUCACAAAAUAAUAGUGAGAGAAUUUAACACCCCACUGACAAUAUUAGACGUAUCAUCAGGACAGAAAAUUGACAAAGAUAUCCAGGAACUGAACUCAGCUCUGGAUCAAGUGGACCUGAUAGAUAUCUAUAGAACUCUCCACCCAAAAACAACAGAACAUAUAUCCUCCUUCUCGCCACAUGGCACUUAUUCUAAAAUUGAUCACGUAAUCAGAAGUAAAAUACUCCUCAGCAAAUGCAAAAGCACUGAAAUCAUAACAGUCUCUCAGAUGACAGCACAAUCAAAUUAGAACUCAAGAUUAAGAAAUUCACAGGCCAGGUGUGGUGGCUCACAUCUGUAAUCCCAGCACUUUGGGAGUCCAAGGCAGGCAGGUCACCUGAGGUCCAAGGCGGGCGGAUCACCUGAGGUCAGGAGUUCAAGAUCAGCCUGUCCAACAUGGAGAAACCCGUCUCUACUAAAAAUACAAAAUUAGCUAGGUUUGGUGGCACAUGCCUAUAAUUCCAGCUACUUGGAGAGGCUGAGGCAGGAGAAUUGCUUGAACCCGGGAGGAGGAGGUUGCGGUGAGCCGAGAUUGCGCCAAUGCACUCCAGCCUGGGCAACAAGAGCAAAACUCCAUCUCAAAAAAAAAAAAAAAGAAAAAAAAAAGAAAUUCACUCAAAACCAUACAACUACAUGAAAAUUGAACAACCUGCUCCUGAGGGACAUUUGGGCAAAUAAUGAAAUUAAGGCAGAAAUCAAGUUCUUUGAAACAAAUGAGAACAAAGAUACAAUGUACCAGAAUCUUUGGGACACAGCUAAAGCAGCAUUAAGAGGGAAAUUUAUAGCACUAAAUGCCCACAUAAAAAAGCUAGAAAGAUCUCAAAUUAACAACCUAACAUCACAGUUAAAAAGCUAGAGAACAAAGAGCAAACACACCCCAAAGCUAGCAGAAGAUAAGAAAUAACCAAGAUCAGAGCUGAACUGAAGGAGAUAGAGACAAGAAAAACCCUUCAAAAAAAUCAAUGAAUCCAGGAGCUGGUUUUUUGAAAAAAUUAAUAAAAUAGACCACUAGCUAGACUAAUAAAGAAGAAAAGAGAGGGCCGGGCGCAGUGGCUCACACCUGUAAUCCC